GAUGAACGCUAGCUACAGGCUUAACACCUGCAAGUCGAGGGACCGGCGCACGGGUGAGUAACACGUAUCCAACCUGCCCUUUACUCGGGGAUAGCCUUUCGAAAGAAAGAUUAAUACCCGAUAUAAAGGAUGGGGAUGCGUUCCAUUAGGUUGUUGGUGAGGUAACGGCCCACCAAGCCUUCGAUGGAUAGGGGUUCUGAGAGGAAGGUCCCCCACAUUGGAAAUGGGAAACGGUCCAAACUCCUACGGGAGGAAGAAGUGAGGAAUAGUGGUCAAUGGGCGGUAGCCUGAACCAGCCAAGUAGCGUGAAGGAUGAAGGCUUAAGGGUCGUAAACUUCUUUUAUAUAAGAAUAUGUAUUAUAUGAAUACGGAUCGGCUAACUCCGUGCCAGCAGCCGCGGUAAUAC
rnacentral:rRNA from 1 species